rnacentral:rRNA from 1 species
GUAGGUGCGAGCGUUAAUCGGAAUUAUCGGGGCGUAAAGCGUGCGCAGGCGGCUUUGCAAGACAGAUGUGAAAUCCCCCGGGGCUCAACCUGGGGAACUGCAUUUGUGACUGCAAGGCUAGAGUACGGCAGAGGGGGAUGGAAUUCCGCGUGUAGCAGUGAAAUGCGUAGAUAUGCGGAGGAACACCGAUGGCGAAGGCAAUCCCCUGGGCCUGUACUGACGCUCAUGCACGAAAGCGUGGGGAGCAAACAGGAUUAGAUACCCUGGUAGCCCGCGCCCUAAACGAUGUCAACUGGUUGUUGGACGGCUUGCUGUUCAGUAACGAAGCUAACGCGUGAAGUUGACCGCCUGGGGAGUACGGCCGCAAGGUUG